GGUGCUGGCUGGGUCCCUGUGCCCUGCCCCACACCCUACACCUCUCUAGACAAAAGCCACAGCUAAGAAGCUUGCACCCCUGCCUCCUCCCACAUAUCUAGGAACCGCUCCAAUGAGAACAGCCUGCUUCCUCUGGCCAACCCCUUCUUUCAAGGCUAAAGAUAUAGAAGGCAGGAACUGUGUCCCAAGAGGGGAAGGCAUGAAGCAGGGCCUUAGACAUGAAGGAUUUCACCAGAGGAGGAUCAGGGUAUUUUACCGUCUGAAGAAAACUUUCAAGUGCCCUUCUAGUGUCUGAGAAUAAGAUCAACAACAGGUGGGCUGGGUUUUCUGAGUGUUACUGAGACGUUCCCAGGAAACCAAACCCUGGAGGCAGACCCCCAUCAUUUCUGGUGGAGACACAGGACCUAGGCACGCUUUUCUGGAAGCGGGGACUCCCUGAGCGCUGGUCACCGAGGGUCUACUCAGGCCCCUCUCCUCCCCACUGCAGAGGGGCUGUUCUGCUCCCAACACUGGAUUUGAGUCCUGAAGGGCCAUGAAACCUUGCCACCUUGUGACUUCAGUGGGGAGAACCCACUGAACUUUCUGGUCCUGUACCGGCCCGAUGGGCAUUCGAGGCAGCCUCACAGAGAGCCACAGUGUUUUACUCUGAACAUGACAACUUCUCCAGUUGCUCAUCCUGAAAUCCAGGCCUGCUAAUGGAAUUUAGGCUAUGUCCAGCAGUGGCUUUUCUUCUGCUGCACAACACCUGAAACAAGUGAGAGGAUCCACACAGGUCUCUGGAGUCACAUGGGCCUAAAACCUGAAGCCCGACCCCAUUUCCCGGGAGCCGUGAGACUGUGAGUAGUUUCAGGGACUGUCUGAGCCUUGGAGUCUGGGUUAAUGAAACAGGGACUGAUGGGAAGCGGAAAGAACCCUCGUGAGGUACUUCUGACAGGUUCUGGCAAUGAUAUCUGAGCACAGUAUUGAUAACCAUCGUCACGUGGGGUGAGGUCAGUGUUGUCCCAGUUUGACCAAGUCAGGUAGUCAAUCCCCUCCAGGGUGGUCGCUGGAGCACAUGUGGCAUGAGGAGGAAAAGGCAGGUGCUGGUUAUCAAGCAUAUCCCAGGUGCUGUGCUGUGUACUUUAUGACAAGGGUGCUCCAUUCCAGUCCCCAUAGAAAUACCCCGGGAGCUACGUGCUACUCUUGUCCCAUUUCACAGAUGAAGACUCUCCCAUUCAGGGACUUGACCGGCUAGGCAGCUAGUAAAGAGGCCAGACCUGGCUCCUAAAGUGAACGGGUACUGGGUUCAGGAAAGGCCUCUGUGACUACAGUGAGUAGCGUUCUUUGUCUAGCUGCGGAUGGGCAGCGGGGAGCCUAGGGGUGGUGAAGACGAGGCAAGACCCAGAGCAUUUCCUUGCUUCGAGCAAGGGGACAGUUUUGAAGAAGGAGGAACCCGCAGCCCAGCCUCCAGGCUUCUUGCUGGGUUCUUUGCCUUAUGUGCCCUUCCUUUCUGUGGAGAGAAAAUACCUGAUCAAAGGGCUUAGAGGAAUAGCUACAGAUAUAUUUUCUUUCUUUCUUUCUUUUUUUAUUAUGUUAGUCACCAUAUAGUACAUCAUUAAUUAUUUAAUACUUUUCAGUGAAAACAUGAUCUGUCAUCCAAAUGAGUUUUCGUUCAUUUUCAUUCUACUGAGUUCGCUUUUCAAGAGAACAUCCUUUUCUGCCCCACAGCCCAAAUUUGGCCAAAUUAUAUUGUUUGUAAUCUCCUUUCGUUUGCCUGAAGUUUCAAGAGUGACCUAUGAUAUUUUCAGUUUCCGUGUCGGAGAAAAUGAAGAUGUACUGGAAUUUAGAACUCAGCAUGAGUGAGAAAGCAGAAAAUCACAAAGACCCCUUAGUGUGAUACUUUUAAGUAGAGUCCCAUGGUUGGGGGAUGAGAGCUCCGUUGGUGCAUUCAUUCACGACCUGAUAUGUGUGUGCUGCCGCUAAAGACUUAACUGAGACUUGAGAAAAAAUCCCCCAAACAGUACGACCAUGGCAAAAGCCUUAUGUAUGUGCAGACAUGCACCCGUAACACGGAGAAAGGCUCUUGGAGGGGGUCUUUCCUGCUGGGUUAUAACUGUAUCAGACCAAAGAGAUGCUACCUUGAGUGUUUGGGGGAGGAUGAUGCACAAAAUGUAGCUUCCCCCGAUCUCAGAAUUACUGUUCUAAGAAACCAUUCAUGAGUGAAGGUAGGUCAACCACACCAUCUGAAGUUCACCAAGGAAAAAUGUACAAAUGACAGGACCACCAAGUUUAGAAAAUGUCCUACAGUGUGCAUUUUAUUCCAUACCAUUAUACAAUGUUUACAUAUAGUUAAAACUCUUAAAUGUUUUUCCUUUACCAAUUGUACGUAGUGCCUAAAUCUUUCAUUUUAACAUGGAGAAAUGGAGAGUGGAAAACCACAUUGAAUGCUAUCCUACAAGUUGUAAUGAGCCGCAAGUGUGCCAAUGAGGAGGAGACAGAAGUCUUACAAGAGCAGCGUGCCUUACACAUCCCUGGCUUUAGUGAAUUCAGGCAUACAGGACCCACAGCCUCACCUCGUAGUAAAACUCAAGACAAAAUAAAUUAGUGUUGGACAGAAUUCUAAAUUGUACAAUAUUGAACGAAAGACCACAGUGGGGCUUUUUGUUUAAAGUAGCACCAAUCCACACCUGAUUGUGUUUUCAACAUUAAUCUGCCUGUUGAAUACAUCGUUGGCACUUUUGAGUGGAAAUCUUUCUGCUUUCGUGAGGAUUCCUGGGCUGGCUGAGUACCCUGUGUUGCAAAACUCUCUAUGAAGUGUGGCAAUGGCAACCUGGGAAAUGGCACAUUUAAGUCACUAUGGCCCUGCCACGGGCUCGCCUGUGUGUGUGUGUGUGUGUGUGUGUUUUCCCCAUUCCCUGAUCUAGCUGGUAUUUCGUGGAUGUUUACUGUGACAGUGUAAAA